GGAGUGAAGUUGGGGGUUCUGUUAAGGGUGGUCUUAUUGAAGGUUGGGGCGUCAAGAAGCUGUUGUGGGCGUGAGGCUCCGUUAGCCGGUUUUCAGAAGAAAAAAUAGUUAUUUUAACUUUCCGUUCCAUCCCCUUUUUUUCUAUUGGAGUUUGUUAUGAGAAGUAAAUCAGCUCGGUUUUGGGAGGUUUUCUUUGUAGGGUAUUCAAGGAUUGGUUUUGUCAUGUGGAGAGCGAUUGGAGGUCCUUUUUCUUUCAAUGUCAGUUGGAAAUCCUGAGUUAGAGUGUGGAUUUGGUUAGUGUCGUGAGGUUGUAACGGUCGGGAUUCAGUUAUCCUUUCUGUCGGAGGUUAGAAUUUGUUUUUUGAAGACACUCUGCUAGUUAUCAAUGUCAGUUACAAUGUGAUUGCAAUUUUACUGGACAUUCUGUUAGGGAGGUUAGAAAUCCGUACAGGUCAUUGAAGGGUUAUUUUGAAUCGGUUAGAGAAGGGUUAGUUUGUUAGUUGUGUAGAAGUUUGUUGGAAGGUUUAUUGAAUUGGUUGAAAUUGUGUACAUUGGUUUUUCUCUGCUGCAGGUCUUUGAAUGCUAUAAAUUAGAAGGAACUUGGAAUUCUGCCGGUUUUUCUCAAAGUUGGUUCUCAGUUUGGAAGUCAAGAGAUUUUGUUCAAUCUUUUGUGUGAGCAGAUAACUUUUUGGAGUUUAUUUCUCUAUUUCAAUUGUGAUGCAGGGUCAUUGGUUUUAUGUUUUUUCUAUUAUGCUCCCAUUGAGAGGUUUUAUGUUUUUUCUAUUAUGCUCCCAUUGAGAGCUUUUUCUUCCAAUAGUGUAGAAGUAUCUAUUUAAAUCGUUCACUGACACAACACGAGGUGAAUCUAUAUCUAUAUAGGAGUAGCUUGCAACUGGUUGAAUAUGAAGUCAUGACUCACAUAUAGUAAUAAGUAGUAGUAUCUAAAAGCAGUACACGCUGACACGUGAAAGCAGAUGUUGAAUAUGAAGUCAUGACUCAUAUAUAUCCAAAAAGCAGUAGAGACACGUGAAAGCAUUACACUGCACUUUAGUUCACUGACACUGACACUAAAACAGUAAGGCAAGAAAACACUAUUUAUAGGACACUACUUAGGGUUAAAGAGUAUUGAAACAGUAAGACUAUUUAAAGGACACCACUGGCACUUAGUGUUAAAAGAGAAACAGUAAGGCAAGAAAACACUAUUUAUAGGACACUACUUAGUGUUAAAGAGUAUUGAAACAGUAAGACUAUUUAAAGGACACCACUGGCACUUAGUGUUAAAAGAGAGUAAAAUACUUCCACUUAUUAAGCCAGUAUGACAUUGAACCAUAUCACAGGAUCCCACAUCACAUCUCUUUUCCCUUCUUCUCUGUAAGAUUAUCAGCAUUGUCCAAAGGGAAAUCGGUUUUCAUUAACUCCCAUUGAAUCACACCCUCUUUCACUUUUGAAAAUGAUGAUGAUCCUUGACCUCUAAGAAAAUUACUUGCCAUUACAUCCAGCUUCUUUGAUAUACCUCUCAAUUCUUCAUAAUCAUCAUCUCUUUCCAGCAUUUUUCUUUUCAGUUUUAGUUGGAACU
rnacentral:lncRNA from 1 species